UGAAUUACAACCGCCCACUGUCCGAUAUACGGUUGCAUGUGAACACAACACCCUUUCAUUGGAAGAUAUCAGGAGAUAUUGCAAAGAUUACGUUAAGAGUGUAACUGAUCAGUGCUCUACUAGAGUAAAAGUGUCAAUAUCACCACUUAUAUUGAAGCUAUUCACGGUUUACAAUUCUACAAUUCUACAAUUUCAUUUAGCAGACGCUUUUGUCCAAAGCGACGUACAACACAAGCAAGAAUUCAGACAUAAGGAAAAACCUGCAUUUCCCGACAGCUUUGGCUAGUGACUUGCCGCUGCGGCCUGCUGACAGAGUCCGUACAGCAGGGGAGGACAGAGCAUUCCUCCAGGAGGCUUGGUCUGUUACAGCUGGGCUGCUGAGAUUGUCUUCAAGAGAAAAUUCCCCUUUUCUCCGUUUCCCAUCAGCUGGCUUAUAACCCAAAAAGACGCUCUUUAUUGUGAGUAUAUAUAGAAUAAACACACGCAAGUCAUCCACAUUAAGAUAAUCUCAACGUACCCAGCUCAUUUCCUUGAUUUUACGAUGUUGCACGAGGGUUAAUAAAAGAAGACAAGCUCCAAAGGUCAAUGGCUGAGUAAAAUCCAGCUUUAACUUUGUGUUCCUACCGUUUACUUUGCUUGUCAAAGGGAGGAAAUGAUGGAGUGAUGAUAAAUAUUGGGCUUGUUUGGAGAAGCAAAAGCCUUUCUCCUGCAAAAAUAAACCACCAUGUUUCUGUGGAUGAUGGAAGACACACUUCGCAGCUGAUUGAACA